ensembl:snRNA U6 U6 spliceosomal RNA
GUGCUUGCUUCUGCAGUACAUAUACGAAAACCGAAACGAUACAGAGAAGAUUAGCAUGGCCCCUGUGCAAGGAUGACAUGCAAAUAAAUUAAAUCUACACUAACACU